rnacentral:lncRNA from 1 species
UGAUGGAAAAGGACUGCACUUUCAGAAGCAAUUCAGGGGUUCUAAAUAUCUCCAAGGAUGAUAGGAUUAUGAUGAGAGAGAGGAGGCUGAGGAGUUGUUUGUACCAGUUGGAGGGAUCUGUUGUGUCCAGGGAGGUCGAGGUGAUUACUUCAGCCACGGAGGAUUAGUUGGAGGUCCAAUCAAUGCAGAUUGGAUAGUUGAUGAUUUGCUUAUCAGAUCUGCCAAUUGUGGGGUCAUCGGAUCACA